ACUUGACUUGACUUGACUUGUGUGCUGAACUACUGGGAAGGAGCACAAGAGGGGCUCUUGUUGCCUGAAGUGUGGUGCUACUGACCUGACCAAACCUGCAAAGGAAGGACCGGUGACAUUUGCAAGGCCUGAUCUUAAUAGUCCUUGAGUAUGCUGCUCCAAAGUGGUCCUGGUAGAGAGGAUUAUGAUUCUGCCCUUUGAAUGAUGCAGAACUGAGAUGGGAGGCUCGAAGGUUCUGGAGAGUAGGCUGCAAAGCCAUCACAUGUAGCUACAGCUUCAGAGACAUUGCCUUUCUUCCCCUACACCUUCCAAUGGGGGCAAGAAUCUACACCUUGGAUUGGAGUUUCUCACUGGGUAACAAAUAACUCAUGCAACAAGUAACCCCUCUGGAGCUGGUGGUUCCUGACUAAGCCUGGGGGGCACUUGCACCUGGGCUACAGCAGGGAUGGCUGCAGAGCUCAGGAUCCUGCUUCCCAGAAGGCCUAGAAUGCCAGGACAGAAUAUGCAGGGGAGCUACCACUAGAACCAAUCAGAAGCCAGGACUUGGAGACAAAGGGUUUGGUUUACAUUCAGUUGUUGGUGGAGUGAAGCAGAGCGAGAAGCUUCACAGCUUGGGAGGUGCCCAUUGAACUUCUUACUGAGACAUAAUGGGAGACUUUGAACUGUGUCGGUGACUACUAGGCCAUUGACAUGUGUCAGUGCAGCAGAGAUCAGCAACCCGGGAGACUGAAGAGCAAUUUCUGGUCAGGCUACUGAGAGCCAGUCGAAUUGUUCAUCGGAUUCCAGACAAGGAGUCUUAGCACCACCCUACCCUCUUAGGGUGAAGACCUUGUAAGACAAGACAUGUUUGUUUCUGCUUAUGAGUUUUAAGCCAGCCAACGAUUACAGUGCAGCAGCACCCCAAUGAGACCUGAUACCCAACUCCCAUUCUUCCUAGGCAGGGGCUGGGAAGGAGUUUGAGGGUGGGGUUUGGCCCCCUGUAAAUGCUCUAGGGCGGAAGGUUUAAAGUAUUGUUGAUGGUUUGUUAUUCGAGUGACUCCUGUUGUUCCCUAG